AAAUUUGGAGAACUUAAUAGUCUUCAAAGUGUUACCAUCAGAAUAGGUAAACCAUGCAUGGUUACUUCAGAGUGAUCUGACAGUUUUUAACUCAGCCUCUCACCUUUUCUCCACUCCAAUCAUGACACAAGCUGAAGCAUCUGUUCCCUAGGAAGAGUGACUGAGUCCUUGACUGUGUCUCUCAAUAAGAUUAGCAAAACUUUUCCAAGUGACACGCAGCACUGGAGAGGCAAGGAGCUGGUUAUGGACCCGAUAUUUUGGAGAGAAUUAACUGACUGUUACAAGUUGAAGGGAAGGAAAGCAGUGCUGUGCUUGUGCCUUUCCUCUAAGGGAAUGUGCAGAACUUACCAUUUGUGGUCUGUGGUGUCCUAACCCCAUGCAGUGAGUCUUAUGCAGUGCUUCCUCUACCCACAACCUCU